GCUUGGGUGGCUUAGUUGGUUAAGUGUCUGACUUUGGCUCAGAUCAUGAUCUCAUGGUUUGUGAGUUCAAGCCCCACAUCAGGCU
rnacentral:tRNA from 1 species